CAGAUGGAGCAGCAGGAAAAAGGAGAAAAGCCACACAUACGUUUUUCUCAGCUUCAGUUCCCAGGCAUCCUCAUGGGCACCAACAUGCACAUAUUCCUUUUAUAGGAAUAGAACUAAUUCAGUAUCAAUAUGCCAACACUGAUGCUGAUCUAUUUCUAAUAUGAAACCCAAAGCUUUGCAAGAGAGAAACAAACUUAAAAUAAAAAAUGCAAACUUAGGAUUUUCUCAGCAAUUGCACCACUCCCAUCUUUUAGGUCAAAGGGGAAAACAAAUACCAGUUCCAGAUGCAAUGUUGCCCUUCCCAAACAUUGUCCCACUGCUACCUCUGGAAGUACCUCAAGUACAAGAAGAAAUGCACAUUUUGCAGCUGAGGAAACACCAACCAACAACAUAAUAAUGAAAAACAUGGACUCACAGGGUUUCUCGAUGACAUCAGCUCCCACACCGUGGGGAUGGGUUUGUUCUUCUGUACAAAGACCGCUCUGAAACGUUCUUCUCCCAGAGAGAACAGCAGCUUCGGUGGGCUUUGUCUUCCGAAGGAACAUGGAAAUAAAUCUGUCACAAACACAACCCAAAAUAUCUCAGAGAAGUUACCUGUGAGACUAAAACUUCGACAUUCACCUGCAAAAGCGAUGGCUGUGAUGAAUAGAGUUGUGAAAAGCACUGCCAGAGUCACCUGGCAGGCGACAAGUGCCUCCGGCUUCAUCUCCAUGCUGUGACCUGCAGGAGAACAGACCUUCAGUGCCUCUGCGAGGGCUCCCAGGACAGCAACACGCUACAGGCCAUGCCAAGAUCAUCAAGGGUUGGUCUCAAGCCAAUGCCAGUGAACUUGGUGUCAUUUUGAGUGAGAAAUACCAAAUAUUCUUCUUCAUGCAGAACAAAAUUAGCUAUUUUUUGUUUAUGGGAGCUCUUUGGGGAACAGUUUCCUACCUAGCUCCAGAUAAAAACUCAUUAAUUGUACCAUAAUUAAAAAUUUGCUUUAAUGUCUGGGAUUUACUUCAUUAUUAAAGUUCAGUGGAGUUUUUUUCUCCACCUAAACUAAGA